GAUGAACGCUGGCGGCGUGCCUAAUACAUGCAAGUCGAGCGAACGGACGAGAAGCUUGCUUCUCUGAUGUUAGCGGCGGACGGGUGAGUAACACGUGGAUAACCUACCUAUAAGACUGGGAUAACUUCGGGAAACCGGAGCUAAUACCUGAUAAUAUUUUGAACCGCAUGGUUCAAAAGUAAAAGACGGUCUUGCUGUCAUUUAUAGAUGGAUCCGCGCUGCAUUAGCUAGUUGGUAAGGUAACGGCUUACCAAGGCAACGAUGCAUAGCCGACCUGAGAGGGUGAUCGGCGACACUGGAACUGAGACACGGUACAGACACCUACGGGAGGCAGCAGUAGGGCAUCGUCCGCAAUAGGCGAAAGCCUGACGGAGCAACGCCGCGCGAGUGAUGAAGGUCUUCGGAUCGUAAAACUCUGUUAGUAGGGAAGAACAUAUGUGUAAGUAACUGUGCACAUCUUGACGGUACCUAAUCAGAAAGCCACGGCUAACUACGUG
rnacentral:rRNA from 1 species